rnacentral:rRNA from 1 species
UCCUACGGGUGGCUGCAGUAACGAAUCUUCCGCAAUGCACGCAAGUGUGACGGAGCGACGCCGCGUGUGGGACGAAGCCCUUCGGGGUGUAAACCACUGUCAGGGGAAAGAAAGUUCUGAUCUACCCCAGAGGAAGGCACGGCUAACUCUGUGCCAGCAGCCGCGGUAAUACAGAGGUGCCGAGCGUUAGGCGGAAUCACUGGGCUUAAAGCGUGUGUAGGCGGACUUCUAAGUACCUUGUGAAAUCCCACGGCUCACCCGUGGAACUGCUGGGUAUACUGGUCGUCUUGAGCCACCUAGGGGCCAGCGGAACAAAUGGUGGAGCGGUGAAAUGCGUAGAUAUCAUUUGGAACGCCAACGGUGAAAACAGCUGGCUGGGGGUGUGCUGACGCUGAGACACGAAAGCCAGGGGAGCGAACGGGAUUAGAUACCCCAGUAGUC